CUCCAUUUUAGGGUUACUGUAGUUCAUAUAUGAAAAAGUAACACUUCUUUUACUUUAUUCAUUUUAGGACCUCCCUUAAUUUGGCAAACAUACAAGGCCAUUACUAAAGGGUGCAUACGUCAUGGAAAUUUUCCUGACUUAGUUCAAGAUGGCAUCUUCAAGUCUGAACAUCCUUAUCUGUUGUUUAUACUAAGACGUAAGUGCACAGUCGUGGGAGAUUCCCGGAU